rnacentral:rRNA from 1 species
AUGUCCAGAAGAAACGAUAGUAGAAAUGUAGAAAGGAUAUAUGUGCUUGAUGCCAUGGAGGAAUGCUUCACACUGGCCGGCAGUCAGCUACAUCUUCUCAACCAAGCUUUUCUGGCCCUCCUUCCUAAGAAAGACUCCCCACUGGACUUAGACAAUUUCCGCCCGAUAAGCCUUGUGCACAGCUUUCCCAAGCUUCUUCUUGCAAAGGUGCUCGCCUUAGCCGAUUUCCGCCCGGUAAGCGUUGUGCACAACUUCCCCAAGCUUCUUGCAAAGGUGCUCGCCUUAGCCGAUUUCUGCCCGAUAAGCCUUGUGCACACCUUGCCCAAGCUUCUGGCAAAGGUAAUCUCCUUAGCUGCUUCUUGCAAAGGUGCUCACGAAUCGACUAGCCCAACGUCUCUAUGA